rnacentral:lncRNA from 1 species
GCAAAGUGGAUUUUCAGAAGAAGUAAAAAGUAGCCUCAAGCUAUUCUGGGUACAUGGGUGCAGCCUUACUUACGUUCUGAUCUGAGAAAAAUGUUACAUAUAAAACCCCUCUGCCUCACCUUCUGUUCUUACCCAUGGAUUUACAUGGAAUCCAGCCCUUUUCAUUAAACUUAUAAACAACCAAGUGGAAUCAUAAAAAUGUAAUUUAAUGUAGAUUUUAUUGACACCUUCCUGCAGAGAAGAGAUGAUUAGAGAUGUCACCCAAGCAUGAGUAGGUGGGAGGAAGAGCCAGGGCACAGAUCAUCUAAAAGCUAUGUCAUAAAUCUCCAAUCACAAAACAGAAAGCGGAGAGGAAGGGAAGGGGGGAGAGCACCCCACAGAACAGGAUCAAUCUAACUACAUUUCUAGUUCGAUUUUUUUUAUAAAAUAUAGAACACUUACAAAAUCUGUUAAUGUUUUCUCUUUUCCUAGAGAAGAAUAUGAUCCUUCAGAUUGUGCUGUCCCCAUAUCAACAGCCCUCAUUAAGCAAAUAACCACCAAGAUACAACCUGGAAGCACAGUUAACGAGAUGCUUGAUGAGUUCUAUGGGUCAGAAAAGUCCCACGAGCCCACUUGGCCUUACAGUCAGAAAGAUUCUGACAGGAAUGAGCAGCUGAGUCAGUGGGAUAGCCCAAUGCGCGUCAGACUGUCAAUGUGGAAACCGUAUGUUAGGACACUGCUGAUAGAACUGCUACCUUGGGCCCUGCUCAUCAAUCAAUCCAAGUGGGACCUCUGGCUGUUUGAAGGAGAAAAGAUUGUUCUACAGGUUCCUGCUGGCAAAAUUAUUAUUCCUCCUAAUUUUCAGGAAGCUUUUCAAAUUGGAAUUUACUGGGCAAAUACAAACACUGUGCACAAGUCACUGGCAAUUAAACUGGUCCAUAAUCUGACGUCUCCAAAGUGGAAAGAUGGCGGUAAUGGUGAGGUAGUGACCCUGGAUGAAGAAGCAUUUGUUGAUGCUGAAAUCAGACUUGGUGCUUUCCCAGGACAUCAGAAGCUCUGUCAGUUCUGCAUCUCCUCCAUGGUGCAGCAUGGCAUACAAGUUAUCCAGAUUGAAGAUAAGACUACAGUAAUCAAUAACACUCCGUAUGAGAUAUUUUAUAAGCCACACUUGUCUGUCUCCAACCCCUAUUCUGGAAAGGAGGUGAGUAAUCCAUAGCUGUUUCUCUCAGUUCACUGUAAACACACCCAACCUUUCUUAGCCUGGGGCAAAGAAAAUGCUAAUACUAAAUAUAGAAAUCUUAUUUUGCUGAAUUUAAAAACCAUAGAUGCAAGUUAAAGUAAGUGAGGUGCUGGCUGCCACAGCCCUGGAAAGUGCUAAACCAGCCCUCUCCAACAGUGUUUCUCAGCGACCACAGUGGCUCCUGAGUCUUGGUAGUAAGUGUGGGGCUGGUGCCUGAACUGAGCCAUGGCUGUGAGUCACGGCAGUACUCACAGGACACAUCACAUCAUGGCAACGUGUGCAGAAAACAAAUCCAGGGAUAGUCAGGACCUUUAGCAUGGUUCUUUGUACAGUUAACAUGAACAUUCAUAUUUUAAGAAGG